GCCCGCGCGCUCUCCGCCCCCGCACUGCCGCCGCCGGCGGCCGUCGCCUCCCCAUCCCCGAUCCCGCCGCUCUCUUCCGCUCGCUGGGGAAGCCCGCGGCGGCGGUUGCUCGGACGGCUCCGCGCUCACUUCGUUUAGCGGGGAGCUGCGCAGGGAUAUGGCGGUGGCAAGCACCGAGCAGCCGCCGGCCUCGGUGGCGCCGUCGUCGCUACCUGUACGCUAGGGCCGUCGCUCCGCCACCGCCGCUGCUGCCGGCGCGUGAGGCGCCGCUCUGCUCCCCUCCCACCGGGGCUCAGGUGUCUCCUUCCUCAUCUAUUGCUGCCGCUGGCGCCGCCCCCGCCUACCCGCGUCUUUCCUGUGACCUUCGUUCCCAUUGAUUGCUCUGUUGUUUCCCGGGCGUGCCGUUCGAUGGCCGUCCCUGUGCGCAACGCUCGUGGGUUCUCCCAACCAUGAGUGGCUGAGUGCAUGUACAAGAUCAAAAUGAUUUGUACAGUAUGGUGGAGAUGAUGCUCACCAGCGCUCUCCUUGAUCCCACAGUUGCAUUGUUCUUUGCUGGCCCACUGAUACAAUAUGGUUGGUAAAGCAAUUUUGAAAAGCAAAUAUAGCUUUUUCAUGGUUUAGUGAAUAAAUUUGCCUGGACAUUUGGUCUCACUAUAUCUGUGUGCAAGAUGCAGGAAUUUCAGUUUGGAAUUCAACUUAACACCAUAAGCUAAAUUGAGACUUUGCAGAGUAAAAAAAAAUCAAGGUUUAUGGGCACAAGUUUCACAGUGGCGACGAGGUUCACAGCAGAUUUUCCUUUUUGAUAUGGACUAUCGGAAUAUAACUAUCCCUGGAAACUUGUGAAGUUGGCGCACUUUGUCCUUCUUACAACAGAUGGGCACCAUAUUGAAGAUAGGCUUCUGCUCAGAUGGCAAUAUUCAUUUUAAUAUAUUAAGGCAUCUUCAUUUACUUCUUUACCUUAAAGACACAAGGGAUUUAUGAAAUUUAUCUUCCUGUUCCUUGCUUCUUUACAGGACCUAAAUUUGUGCCAACAAGAUAAAAUCAAGGUGUUGCAAUGUCACCUGAAUUUUCAUAUCUAGAGAACAAUACCUGGGAUUUAACCACAAGGUAACAAAAAAUAUGCUUGACCUGUAAUUGAAAAAGAAUAAACAUUAUGUAUCCACUUAUUUGUGAAGUCGAAAAAGACCCCCCAGCACUUAGUUUAUGGUACACCAUACAUGUUCUAAUCGGUUUUUACUAUGCUCUAGCAUUUCGAAUUUGAACAGAGGUAUUGCUCCAGCAUUAAUUAUGUUGUAACACCAGCAUGAAUAUGCUAAAGGCAGAUCCGCAAGUUUUAUUUUAAACAUCUAUUUACUUGCUUUGGAAUAUUGAGGUUGCAAUCCAUAUUUCAGUGAGGUUACACUACACCCUGCUAAGCACCCAAACAUUUGUAUAUGGGACUCGAUUGCUAUAUUACUACACAGUUUCUGAGUUUCUUUUUUUGUAUUAGUUCAAGGCCAUGUAUACAUCUCGAUUUUUUUAUAUUGUUAAUCUUUAGCAACGUUGUUAUGCAACAGGAUGAUGUUUCAGGUUUCCAUUCAGAAAAAGGGUAAAAAAAGAUCCAGCCAUGUCUAAACCUACAUUGUCUCUUUUACGCUGUGUAUUCCAGACUACUUUUGAAUAGAACAGUUAAUUUAUAUUAUUCACUUUACUUUUUUUUGUAUAUCAUAAUAUUUUCCUUUAAAUUUUUGGAUAACUGACCAAGAAGAGAAGGUGUCAAAGAAUAGAAUUUUAGCUCAAAUAAAGAUGAUGUUCCAACAUAUUGUCAUAAUACCUAGCCUUUUCCAGUGAUUGCUAAAGCUAACUAAAAUGAAGGCCAAAAAACAAUUAAGGGUCUUUUAUGUAGCUAUAAAAUUGGCGACUCUUAUACAUAAGAUUAUUCACUUUACUGUUAUGUGGUUGCAAUAUUUGAAAAGGGGAGGCACAUCCCGAAAUAAAUUCUGCAGAUCCAUUCCAUAAAUUGGCAUAGUUCCUUGUUCAACUCCAUGAAGAUAUUAAAUUCUAUUGACAAGUUCCAACCAAAAAUAAAUCAUAAACAUGGAAACGACCGAUGGAGCUACUCUUUGGAUAUGAUACGAACCUGUUUCAAGCUAGCUGCUGUAUAUUUCUGAGAAUAGAUAUUAUUUCUGGAACAUAAUUAUUUCCCUACAAAGUUUCAUAAUUUCAUUGUUGCCUCCUUGAAGUAUUUGGAUUACUAACCUCAGUCACUUUUUACGAAAUGUUGUUGGGAUUCUUAGGCAUAUGGUUCACUUUAUACCACUGCUACAAUCAAUAUUCCUGCAAGCAUAAGGUUCUUAAAUUAGCAAUCUAGAAGUGCAUAUCCUGCGUUCCUCUCAUUGUUUUGAGUUAAGGCUUUACUUCUUCACAUUUGAUCUACGAUGCCUAAUCAAUGCCUUAUUUGGAAACAUCAUGACUGUCCUGCCUUAGUUAACGGGGAGGAAAUUACACAUAAAACUUCAGAUAUGCAUUAUGUUGUAUUUGCAUCAUGACCAGCUCUGUUUUUUAGGAGUUCAGUGUUGUCUCCCUGCAACGCUUUCUAUUUUGGCAUGGCUGUUAUGUUGCUCUAUUUUCUUCCAAAAAGAUGGAUCUGAGCCUAAUCCAAAGUAGGAGAUGAGCAACAUGUGAGCCUGAAUAAAGGAAGCACACAUGCGUAAUGGCUCACACUCCCUUCCCAUGUGAAGAAGGUGCUAAUUACUUUCACUGUAUUUUGGUGAUAAUGCGCAUGUGAAUCGAGGUUACGAUUGCAGGCAAGU